rnacentral:rRNA from 1 species
AUAGCGUAUAUUAAAGUUGUUGCAGUUAAAAAGCUCGUAGUUGAACUUCAGACCUGGCCGGAUGGUCCGCCUCACGGCGUGUACUGUCUGGCCGGGCCUUACCUCUUGGUGAGCCGGCGUGCCCUUUAUUGGUGUGCGUCGGGGAACCAGGAUCUUUACCUUGAGAAAAUUAGAGUGUUCAAAGCAGGCCUAUGCCCGAAUACAUUAGCAUGGAAUAAUAGAAUAGGACGUGCGGUUCUAUUUUGUUGGUUUCUAGAGUCGCCGUAAUGAUUAAUAGGGAUAGUUGGGGGCAUUGGUAUUAAGUCGCUAGAGGUGAAAUUCUUGGAUUGACUUAAGACCAACUAUUG